AAUGCAAUCAGGACCAUCGAGUCUGAACUGGGCUCUCGAAUGUCUGAUCUAUUUGCUGAUAUUAGUCCAGAGCCAAUUGCAGCAACAUCACUGGGGCAAGUAUACAAAGUCAUGCAGCUCAUCUACACUCUGGAGAGCUUGUCGCAAUCAAAGUUCAGAGGCCUGGAAUGGCACCCUUGCUGACCCUCGAUGCACUUCUAUUCAAUAUGAUUGGAGGACAGCUAAAACGAUUUGCUAAGGCCCGCAAAGAUUUAUUGGUAGCUGUUAAUGAAAUUGUAUUUUCUUCAUUCUUAUCUUCACUGAUUAUUAUAAUUUUGUCCAAGUUGUUUUUUUCAGAUUACUUUCACACAUAUUAAAUAUAGUGUUUGUCUCGCUA